rnacentral:rRNA from 1 species
GACGAACGCUGGCGGCGUGCUUAACACAUGCAAGUCGAACGGAAAGGCUCCAGCUUGCUGGAGUACUCGAGUGGCGAACAGGUGAGUAACACGUGGGUAAUCUGCCCUGCACUCUGGGAUAAGCCUGGGAAACUGGGUCUAAUACUGGAUAUGACCUUUCUCCUUAUGGGGUUUGGUGGAAAGUUUUUCGGUGUAGGAUGAGCCCGCGGCCUAUCAGCUUGUUGGUGGGGUGAUGGCUUACCAAGGCGACGACGGGUAGCCGGCCUGAGAGGGUGAUCGGCCACAUUGGGACUGAGAUACGGCCCAGACUCCUACGGGAGGCAGCAGUGGGGAAUAUUGCACAAUGGGCGGAAGCCUGAUGCAGCGACGCCGCGUGAGGGAUGACGGCCUUCGGGUUGUAAACCUCUUUCAGCAGGGACGAAGCGUAAGUGACGGUACCUGCAGAAGAAGCACCGGCUAACUAUGUG